AGUCGAACGAUGAAGCCCAGCUUGCUGGGUGGAUUAGUGGCGAACGGGUGAGUAACACGUGAGUAACCUGCCCUUGACUCUGGGAUAAGCCUGGGAAACUGGGUCUAAUACUGGAUAUGACUUCUCACCGCAUGGUGGGGGGUGGAAAGAUUUAUUGGUCUUGGAUGGACUCGCGGCCUAUCAGCUUGUUGGUGAGGUAAUGGCUCACCAAGGCGACGACGGGUAGCCGGCCUGAGAGGGUGACCGGCCACACUGGGACUGAGACACGGCCCAGACUCCUACGGGAGGCAGCAGUGGGGAAUAUUGCACAAUGGGCGCAAGCCUGAUGCAGCGACGCCGCGUGAGGGAUGACGGCCUUCGGGUUGUAAACCUCUUUCAGUAGGGAAGAAGCGAAAGUGACGGUACCUGCAGAAGAAGCGCCGGCUAACUACGUGCCAGCAGCCGCGGUAAUACGUAGGGCGCGAGCGUUAUCCGGAAUUAUUGGGCGUAAAGAGCUCGUAGGCGGUUUGUCGCGUCUGCCGUGAAAGUCCGGGGCUUAACCCCGGAUCUGCGGUGGGUACGGGCAGACUAGAGUGCAGUAGGGGAGACUGGAAUUCCUGGUGUAGCGGUGAAAUGCGCAGAUAUCAGGAGGAACACCGAUGGCGAAGGCAGGUCUCUGGGCUGUAACUGACGCUGAGGAGCGAAAGCAUGGGGAGCGAACAGGAUUAGAUACCCUGGUAGUCCAUGCCGUAAACGUUGGGCACUAGGUGUGGGGGACAUUCCACGUUUUCCGCGCCGUAGCUAACGCAUUAAGUGCCCCGCCUGGGGAGUACGGCCGCAAGGCUAAAACUCAAAGGAAUUGACGGGGGCCCGCACAAGCGGCGGAGCAUGCGGAUUAAUUCGAUGCAACGCGAAGAACCUUACCAAGGCUUGACAUGUUCCUGACCGCCGUAGAGAUACGGUUUCCCCUUUGGGGCAGGUUCACAGGUGGUGCAUGGUUGUCGUCAGCUCGUGUCGUGAGAUGUUGGGUUAAGUCCCGCAACGAGCGCAACCCUCGUUCCAUGUUGCCAGCACGUAGUGGUGGGGACUCAUGGGAGACUGCCGGGGUCAACUCGAAGGAAGGUGGGGACGACGUCAAAUCAUCAUGCCCCUUAUGUCUUGGGCUUCACGCAUGCUACAAUGGCCGGUACAAUGGGUUGCGAUACUGUGAGGUGGAGCUAAUCCCAAAAAGCCGGUC
rnacentral:rRNA from 1 species